UACGCAUCGAAUACUCCGCAAUUCUCAUACUCAUUUAACCGGAACGCCUUAUUCAUUUGCAUGAUACGUCGCAGCUGCUCUCAUUACUCUUAAUUGUUCCUGCUUACUAAAACAACACCGAAAGUAACAAGAUACGUAUCGUAUUUAAUCAAAGAGGAUUCAUUGUAAAGUCAAGUUCCGCUAUGAAAUUAACAUAAAAACAAAGCAUGUGUAUUCCCAUGGGAAUUAAAAAUACGGAAAAUAAUUAGUCUUUUUCACACAUUUCAUAUCAAAUUAAUAAUUAGCUUGGAA